UACGAAGGGGGCUAGCGUUGCUCGGAAUUACUGGGCGUAAAGGGCGCGUAGGCGGACAGUUUAGUCAGAGGUGAAAGCCCAGGGCUCAACCUCGGAACUGCCUUUGAUACUGGGGAUCUCGAGUCCGGGAGAGGUGAGUGGAACUGCGAGUGUAGAGGUGAAAUUCGUAGAUAUUCGCAAGAACACCAGUGGCGAAGGCGGCUCACUGGCCCGGAACUGACGCUGAGGUGCGAAAGCGUGGGGAGCAAACAGG
rnacentral:rRNA from 1 species